UACAGAGGGUGCAAGCGUUAAUCGGAAUUACUGGGCGUAAAGCGUGCGUAGACGGUUAUUUAAGUCAGGGGUGAAAGCCCAGGGCUCAACCUUGGAAUUGCAUUUGAGACUGAAUAGCUAGGGUGCGGAAGAGGGAAGCGGAAUUUCCGGUGUAGCGGUGAAAUGCGUAGAUAUCGGAAGGAACACCAGUGGCGAAAGCGGCUUCCUGGUCCAGCACCGACGUUCAGGCACGAAAGCGUGGGGAGCAAACAGG
rnacentral:rRNA from 1 species